GAUGAACGCUGGCGGCGUGCUUAACACAUGCAGGUCGAACGGGAUCCCAGGGGUGCUUGCACUUUUUGGUGAGAGGGGCGAACGGGGGGGUAACACGGGAGUAACCUUUCUUUUUCUUUGGGAUAAGCAUUGGAAAGGGUUUUUAAUACCUUAUGUCUUUUCUGCUUGGCAUGGGGGGGGGGGAAAGGGCUUGGGCGGGAUUUGGGUGGGCUGGCGGUCUAUCAGCUUGUUGGUGGGGUGAUGGCUUACCAAGGCUUUGACGGGUAGCCGGCCUGAGAGGGUGGUCGGUCACAUUGGGACUGAGAUACGGCCCAGACUCCUGCGGGAGGCAGCAGUGGGGGAUAUUGCACAAUGGGCGAAAGCCUGAUGCAGCGACGCCGCGUGGGGGAUGAAGGCCUGCGGGUUGUAAACUUCUUUUGCUCUGAACAAGGCAUGCCAGUGGGUGUGUUGAGUGUAGGGGUUGAUUAGCGCCGGCUAACUACGUG
rnacentral:rRNA from 1 species